AUUAACUAUUUGGAUAUGGAUAAUGUACAGAACUACAAUUCUAUUUUGUUUUACACUAUUACGUGAUUGUAUUUCUCCCUCAACCAAGUUUGGAUAAUAUCUCCUNCNGUACUUUCUCCUGCAAAGCUUUCUUUCAAUUUCAUACUCACACACCUGACCUUCAAAAGCUUCUACNUGAUAUAUCCAUUUUAAAAUCCAAAACUCUUAUAAAAAGGGCAAGACCUCUCAUAUGGCAAUGGUUAACAUGAUUAGUGGUAAACUCAUAGACCUUACACCNUGAUAUUGGCCCUAUUCAAGAACAAUUAGCCAGAUCUGUAACACUUAAGCCCUUGAUUCUCCCUUUCAUCAUAUAUGAAUGUUUUGACACUAGU
rnacentral:lncRNA from 1 species